rnacentral:rRNA from 1 species
CAGUAGCCACGGGAAUACGUAGGGUGCGAGCGUUGUCCGGAAUUACUGGGCGUAAAGAGCUCGUAGGUGGUUUGUCGCGUUGUCUGUGAAAUUCCCUGGCUUAACUGGGGGCGUGCGGGCGAUACGGGCAGACUGGAGUACUGCAGGGGAGACUGGAAUUCCUGGUGUAGCGGUGGAAUGCGCAGAUAUCAGGAGGAACACCGGUGGCGAAGGCGGGUCUCUGGGCAGUAACUGACGCUGAGGAGCGAAAGCGCGGGGAGCGAACAGGAUUAGAUACCCGUGUAGUCCCUGUCUCUUAUAC